GCUGGGAUGGCCGAGUCGUUAAGGCGAGUGAUUUGAAUGAGGCCUUGAAAAUUCUCUCAAAUUAUCACUUGGUGUUUCACCGCGUAGGUUCAAAUCCUGCUCCCAGCG